rnacentral:rRNA from 1 species
UACGAAGGGGGCUAGCGUUGCUCGGAAUCACUGGGCGUAAAGCGCACGUAGGCGGAUUGUUAAGUCAGGGGUGAAAUCCUGGAGCUCAACUCCAGAACUGCCUUUGAUACUGGCGAUCUUGAGUUCGGGAGAGGUGAGUGGAACUGCGAGUGUAGAGGUGAAAUUCGUAGAUAUUCGCAAGAACACCAGUGGCGAAGGCGGCUCACUGGCCUGAUACUGACGCUGAGGUGCGAAAGCGUGGGGAGCAAACAGGA